AGAAUAUAAGAACCCGACUCUUAACUUUUAACUGAAAAAUAGAGUUUUAAGAGCCGACACUUAACUUUUUCAGUUAAAAGUUAAGAGUCGGGUUCUUAUAUUCU
rfam:Brassica oleracea var. oleracea cultivar TO1000 chromosome C1, whole genome shotgun sequence